GGCCUGAUGGUCUAGUAGUAUGAUUCCUCGUUCGGGAGAUUCAGGUCUUCAAAGCUUUCUUGAGCUUCAUAUCGAGGAGGUCCCGGGUUCAAUUCCCGGUCAGGCCC
rfam:Leucoagaricus sp. SymC.cos contig501, whole genome shotgun sequence.